rnacentral:rRNA from 1 species
AGAAUCAACGCUGGCGGCGUGCCUAACACAUGCAAGUCGCACGAGAAAGGGGAGCAAUCCCUGAGUAAAGUGGCGCACGGGUGAGUAACACGUGAAUCAUCUACCUCCGAGUGGGGAAUAACCUAGAGAAAUCUGGGCUAAUACCGCAUAACACUUACGAGUCAAAGCAGCAAUGCGCUUGGAGAGGAGUUCGCGGCCGAUUAGUUAGUUGGCGGGGUAAUGGCCCACCAAGACGAUGAUCGGUAUCCGGCCUGAGAGGGCGCACGGACACACUGGAACUGAAACACGGUCCAGACUCCUACGGGAGGCAGCAGUGGGGGAAUUUUGCGCAAUGGGGGAAACCCUGACGCAGCAACGCCGCGUGGAGGAUGAAAUAUCUUGGUAUGUAAACUCCUUUCGAUGGGGAAGAUUAUGACGGUACCCAUAGAAGAAGCCCCGGCUAACUUCGUGCCAGCAGCCGC